UACGUAGGGUGCGAGCGUUAAUCGGAAUUACUGGGCGUAAAGCGUGCGCAGGCGGUUUUGUAAGCCAGAUGUGAAAGCCCCGGGCUUAACCUGGGAAUGGCAUUUGGGACUGCAUCGCUGGAGUGCGGCAGAGGGGGAUGGAAUUCCGCGUGUAGCAGUGAAAUGCGUAGAUAUGCGGAGGAACACCGAUGGCGAAGGCAAUCCCCUGGGCCUGCACUGACGCUCAUGCACGAAAGCGUGGGGAGCAAACAGG
rnacentral:rRNA from 1 species